GAUGAACGCUGGCGGCGUGCCUAAUACAUGCAAGUCGAGCGAACAGACGAGGAGCUUGCUCCUCUGACGUUAGCGGCGGACGGGUGAGUAACACGUGGAUAACCUACCUAUAAGACUGGGAUAACUUCGGGAAACCGGAGCUAAUACCGGAUAAUAUAUUGAACCGCAUGGUUCAAUAGUGAAAGACGGUUUUGCUGUCACUUAUAGAUGGAUCCGCGCCGCAUUAGCUAGUUGGUAAGGUAACGGCUUACCAAGGCGACGAUGCGUAGCCGACCUGAGAGGGGGAUCGGCCACACUGGAACUGAGACACGGUCCAGACUCCUACGGGAGGCAGCAGUAGGGAAUCUUCCGCAAUGGGCGAAAGCCUGACGGAGCAACGCCGCGUGAGUGAUGAAGGUCUUCGGAUCGUAAAACUCUGUUAUUAGGGAAGAACAAAUGCGUAAGUAACUAUGCACGUCUUGACGGUACCUAAUCAGAAAGCCACGGCUAACUACGUG
rnacentral:rRNA from 1 species